rnacentral:lncRNA from 1 species
GGCAGGCUGAGUUCAAGCACCGUGAGACAUUCUCGGCCGUCGACGAAAAGGAAAUAGUUGGGAGAUAUGAUGAUAAAGAGAAAAUUGUGAAGCUACUGCUAGAGACGGCCGGCGAUCACGACGUGUCGGUCAUUCCGAUCGUGGGAUUGGGGGGUUUGGGGAAGACGACGCUCGCUCAAAUGGCCUUCAACGACGGACGGGUUACGGGCCAGCAGCGCUUCGAUCUACGGGUGUGGGUCUGCGUGUCUACCGAUUUCCACAUGAAGACGAUUGAUUGCAAAGCCGGUAAUAUCUGCAACCAAAGAGGAGUGUGAUCUUGAUAACUUGGAAUCCGUAGCGAGUUUUCUCCUCAGGAUUUUUAGUCUAAACAGAUUUUUGCUGGUGCUGGACAAUGUAUGGAACGAAGAUCAGGAAAAGUGGGAGAAAUUGAAGGUCUUAUUUAAGGACGGCAAGAAGGGAAGUAAAAUUUUAGUGACCACACGGAGCAAGAAGGUUGCCACGAUAAUGAAAACAGUCGAACCACACCAUGUGAAAGUCUUAUCAGAUGAUGAUUGUUGGACAUUGUUCAAAAGACGGGCAUUUGACGAAGGGGAAGAGAACGACUAUCUGAGCUUGCUCGAAAUCGGAAAGCAGAUAGUUAGGAAGUGCGGCGGUGUGCCUUUAGCAGCAAAUGCUUUAGGAAGUAUGAUGCGCUUUAAGAGCAGGACGGAGGAUGCAUGGUCCGCUAUUAGAGAUAGCGAAAUAUGGAGGUUGGAAGAAGAAGGAACUAUUUUACCAUCAUUGAAAUUGAGCUACAUUCAGAUGCCAUCAGCUUUGAAGCAGUGCUUCGCUUACUGCUCCAUAUUCCCCAAAGACUAUGACAUUGACAAGGAUGACUUAAUCCGGCAAUGGAUUGCUUUAGGCUUCAUUUCAUCGCAUGAAAAAGGGACUUCGAUGGAAGAUAUUGGGAAUGAGUACUUUAACGAUCUAUUAUGGAUGUCUUUCCUUCAACAAGUGUGGGAAAGUUUUAGCAAGGUUACCUGCCGUAUGCAUGAUUUAGUGCAUGACCUCGCACAAUCUGUGGCAAAAGAAGAAGUUGCUGUUAUAGGUGCAGAAGACUAAGCAAGGAUCCCAGAAGGUUGCCGCUAUGCAUCAAUACAGAGUCGUUUCAUGCCACAAGUUUCAAUUACCGUAAUGCGAAGGUUGCGAACUCUUCAAUUUAGGGAAUCUGGUUCACCUAUUAUGAAUUUUUAUAGCGAAGCAAAAUGUUUACGCCUGUUGGAUUUACAUGAUUCCAAAAUUUCUAUGUUGCCAAGCUCAAUCAGUAAGUUGAAGCUCUUAAGAUACCUCAACCUUUCGGAGAACAGUAUACAAGAAUUGCCUAAAUCAAUUACCAGCCUCUGCAACUUGCAAACCUUGAAUCUUUCAGGCUGCCAAAAGAUCCGUACAUUACCCAAAUUUCUAGGAAGGCUUACGAAUUUGCGGAGUUUAGAUUUAAGAGAUUGCAAAUCUCUGACAAUACCAGACUCCAUUAGCAACCUUCAGAAUUUGUAAGCACUAAAUUUGAGUUCGUGCGAAAAGGCGAUAUCACUUGAACCUAUAUGUCACCUCAAAAACCUGCAUUACCUGGCCCUAUCACAUCUAGAUUCUUUGGUGACAUUACCUGAAUCCAUUGGGAGCGUUCAAAACUUGCGUAUUCUGAAUAUUUCUUGGUGCUCUUCUCUACUAUCAUUACCCUCAUCGUUUUGUCAACUCAAAAACCUACAUAACUUAUACCUAUUAUUUCUGACUUCUUUGGUGACAUUACCUGAAUCCAUUGGGAACCUUCAAAACUUGCGUCAUCUGAACCUUAUGUGUUGCUCUUCUCUACUAUCAUUACCCUCAUCGUCAAGUGAUCUUCAGCAUUUAGAGAAACUAGACAUUAGUAAUUGUGAAAAAUUAUGUGAGCUGCCUAAAAUGAUCCAAAAGCUGACCAAACUAAAAGAAUUGUUAAACUCCCAUUGCUCGGAAUUGAAGGGCAUGCCUCGAGGGAUCGGCAAGUUAGUUAGCUUGCAGGAAUUGUCCCUUUUUGUCGUCGGCAAGCAAGACCGCGUCGAACAUUGUGCUAG